rnacentral:lncRNA from 1 species
AUUGUAAUCCUGCGCCCAAGUAGACGUUUGUGUAUAUCCUCGUCGCUUGGCCGAGGCCGGCCGAUGCUUGAUCGGCAACGGUCGGGGACAACGUGAUGAGCGCCCGAUUCACUUGGGGAUCAGGAUAACGAUGUCACCUACCUUUGUUUAGUCCACGCCUCUGCCCGUUUCACCGUUUGGGAUCGCCAUUGACCGCGAACUGAUCGAUGAGCGCCCGAGGAUACUAGCUGGCUGCUACGGUAUGUGCUCGCUAGCAGCUAGCUUAUCGUGUCACGUGGGUCCUCGGUGAAUCGAGGGUUCUUUUUCCGUCGGAUGCGGCGCUGCGGCUGGUGCGGUUUGCCCGUCGCGGUCAACUGGUUGAGGCGUCGGCCUCGUCUGCGAUCAGGGGGAGGGUUUAUGGCGACAGCGGCGUCCCGUGCCUUGCUUCACGUGACGCCUCUAAUUCUGGACAGGCACCUUGGCAGAGGCGCAGCUACUUGGAGCAGACCUCGGAAGGGUCAAGGGUGCACCGCAGAUAGGCUACCAAGGCAUAGGGUUAGAUGUUAACCUUGCCACGCUACAACUCUAGUCUUUUAGGGCGUGUGUUUGAUUCAGUGUCAUGACACUUGAUAAUUAGGGAUCAACAACACAAUAGCAUGAAACUAGGGAUACCCAUGCCACUAGGAUGCAAUAAUAAGAUGUAAAAUAACAUUGUGACAAUCCCAUUUUCCUAUUGAAAUUGAGGGGGGAAAGAAAUCUAGAAUGCUGCCAUUAAGAUGGGGAUAUUAUAUACUCCUAUGUGUGUCAAACAUACAACAACCGUUCCAAUAAUCCAUGGAUGUCAAAAUUUCAAGACACAAGGUGGAGACAUGUCGUUAUGAAAUGAUUAGCUAGCUAUUCCAAUUAUUUUAAAAUUUCUCCCUAAAUUAACCUAGGAUUUCAUAAGUACGAAAUGAUUACACCAACAACCACAAACAUUUUCUUUUCUAAAAAAUAAAAAGAAUUCCGAAAGAGCCCCCCUUAGUUGUGUGGUCGCCUUCGUGCUGCCUCCUUUCCCUCUCGCCUCCACCACCUCCGGCUGGCUACUUUUGCCGCCUCCACCGCCCUUUCAGGCCUUCGCCCAACCGACUGCGCGUUCCCUCCCAAACGCGCACCCCCUCCUCUCCUCCCGUGACCACCGCCUCAGCCUCGCGUCCUCGGGUUCCCUCCAAUCCGUGCCACCGGGCUUCUCGUCACGGCUCGUGCUGCGGUUCAGUGUGCAAGUAAUGGAGCGGCGGCGGUCACCGAGGCUGCUGCUCCAAGUGUUCUUCUUGCUCGCCGCUUCUUCUCCGCUCGGGAGUGCAGGUUUCUUUUUGGAUUUUCGAUUUGUCAGAGUAGCUGGUGGGUGUGCAUUUGGGUUUAUGGUGUUCGCCUUGUUGGUUUGCUGCAGGGAUUGGAGGCCUCGGAGUUGGCCCGGAGAGCAAUGGAGCUUCCGUUAGUCCUAGGUGAGCGUGCUCAGAUUCUUGGAAUUAGAUCUUCACUUUAUGGCUUGCUAGAAAUGGGUGCCAUCAUUUUUCUGACAUCCAGAUUCCAGAAUAUGUAGCUUUAGGGGGAUUGGAGUUGAAGAUUAGAGGCAUGGAUGCUUUUAGCAUUAGCCUGUUUUCAUACAUGGCUGGUAAAUGGCAAAAAGUUGUGAAUUUGUUUUUUUUUUUUUUGCCCUUUAAGAUGGCCAUCAUCAUGUGCGCUUGUACAGGGCACUGGACUAAUUGGUGUUAACCAUGCGUUAGUAUGUACGAGCAGUUUUUAUUGUGGUGUGUGUAGUGGUGACUUUAAUUUCUUGUAAGAAUUGGAGUUGUUGAAUCUUUUUCUCUUUGUUUGAAAAACAGAAUUUGCUCGUGGCUUUCUUUGUACUGAACUAGUGGCAAAUUUUUCUAGUAUGCAUGCAUCAGUAAGCAUUAUUUUGAGGCACAUUUAUUCAUUUUAGAAAGCUCUGGAGUUAAGUCACAGAGUGAUGGAUAGCUAGGUCAAAAAACAAGAAUCGGGUCUAUUAUUUUCAAUUUAAAACAGAAUCAAUGAUCAGGGUAAAUUUGACUAUUCUUUCUCUAGGAAUUCCAGAAGGCUGUUGCAGAUUGGAGAUGGAAACGAAGAUAGCCUAUUUCAUCUCCCACAUGCAAGGACUUUCUCACACAAGAGCAGAUCUCGUAAAAGAGCUCCAACGCCAGCAGCAGCACCAACGUCUGCUCCAUCACCGUCACCAUUCAUAUCCCCACCAGAAAGCUCACCUUCUACAUCACCACAUGCUUCAGGAUCCAUGCCACGCCAAUCUCCUUCACACCAUCAUCCAACUGCAGCCCCUCCACAUUUGGACAGGUCUAGGCCUACAACUAAGCCGGACGAACACGAUCGUUCAGUUGAAACUCCAGUUCAUUCUUCGCAUAAACAUUCCUGGACAACCUAUGGUUUGGUUGCAGCAGGGAUUGCUGUUUUCAUUCUGGUAUCAGCAGCCAGUGUUCUCUGCUUCCGAGCUAAGAAAAUGGGAACUGUGAGGCCAUGGGCGACAGGUCUCAGUGGUCAAUUGCAGAAAGCCUUUGUAACUGGUAUGUUUGUUCCCCUACCUAUGUACAUACCAUAUCUGGGGAACUAUUAUAAUUUUACAUCAUAAUAAUGUAAUCAUAUUUCUAGGUGUACCUUCAUUGCAACGGUCAGAGCUGGAAACAGCAUGUGAGGAUUUCAGCAAUAUAAUUGGUUCUACCUCUAGCUGCAUGCUGUACAAGGGGACCUUGUCCAGUGGAGUUGAAAUUGCAGUGGCCUCAAGCUUGGUAACAUCUGCUAAGGAUUGGUCGAAAGAAAAUGAAUCACAGUACAGGAAGAAGGUAGCAUUUUACAGUUUAUCGAGUCUGUAUAAGUGUCACUUUGCUUCACUUUUUAUUUGAUUCAAAUGAUAAAUGUUUCAGAUCACAAGUUUGUCCAAAGUAAGCCACAAGAAUUUUAUGAAUUUGCUUGGCUACUGCGAGGAAGAGCAUCCAUUUACCAGAGUGAUGGUAUUUGAAUAUGCUCCAAAUGGGACACUUUUUGAGCAUCUCCACAGUAAGUGCAUUGUUAAUUUUUGUCAUGAAUCUAUCAAUUCCUUCUGUCAAAAAUCUGUUCUCUUCAGUCUGCAUGAUUGAGAAAAAUAUUAUAAUGUGUCAACGUUUGACAUUGUCAUCGUGAUUGCAUUGCAGUCAGGGAAGCAGAGAAGCUUGACUGGAUGGCACGGCUCAGGAUAUCCAUGGGCAUUGCUUACUGUCUUGAGCACAUGCAUCAGCUGAAAACACCAGUUGUGCCUAGGAAUUUCGACUCUACUACGAUAUACCUUACGGAUGACUUUGCUGCAAAAGUCUCAGAUCUUGAAUUUUGGAAUGAUGCAAAGGGACAUAAUUCAACCAACGACAACCUCACAUCAUCAUCGGACCUGGAGAGUGUUGUGCGCUGGUAUGGCAUAGUGCUGCUGGAAAUAUUGACCGGACGAGCUCCCCAUUCUGAGGUGGAUGGGCCACUUGAACACUGGGCUUCACGCUACUUCGACGGCCAGAUGCGUCUUGAGGAGCUGAUUGACCCCAGCAUGGGUUCCUUCCCCGAAGACGCUGCGCGUGCGCUUUGCGAGGUUGUAAGGUCCUGCAUUGAUCCAGAUCCAAAGAAGAGACCACGGAUGGCAGAGGUUGCAGCUCGGAUGAGAGAGAUCACUGCGUUGGGGCCUGACGGAGCGACUCCGAAGGUGUCGCCGCUGUGGUGGGCGGAGCUUGAGAUCAUGUCUUCUGAGACCUGAAGUUGGCGGCCAGCCAGAUGAUAUUCUUUAAUCUGUUGGUUGCUGCUAAUCUUGUUUCGUGGACUUGAUUAGGUAGAGGGUGGUUGAGAAUUUGUUCUGUGUGCAAAAUUGCAUAGGGAGUGGUAUUGUACAUGUAAAGAAGAUUAACAAUGUAACAGGCAUUACAGCCAACUUGAGAAAUAGAAAAGGGCGCGUGGUUUGUUUUUAGAUUUUCAGGCAAUUCAUACCAGAGUUGACCUGUUCUACUGACAGUCUUCUGAGACUGAAGAUGCCAAUUCCCUGUAAUUCCUAUUCCAACAUUCAGGACUGAAAAUUGCUAACGCUAAAUUUAAAGCCCAAAUCGAAACAAACAGUAACGUUUUGUCGUUGGUAUUGUGGGACGCCUCUCACAAAGAGAAGGGAUCCCUCCAAAAAUUGGCGUAUGCUGCUUGUUGUGGCGAGCACACGGUAUUCUUUAGUAAAAGGCGAAAGAAUAGUUCGCUUUGUGCUCACCACGCAGCUCCAUGCAUUGGAAUGGCCGGCUCGGUCGCUAUUUUAAGAGCGUCCGGCGGAGAUGAUUGCCAGAGCUCAGCGGUAUGGGACUAAACAGACAGCAUCGCAUGUCGUUGCCCGGUCUAGUGGGCCGGAUUAUAAACGAACAGGCCUCAUCUCUAUCAUGGGCCUGAUUAACCGCUUGUCUCGUGGGCCUAGUAAUGAUUGAUGAACGCUUUAAUCCAGCAUUUAUGCAACGAAUCAGCUCGAUCACAGAUAAGGCGAUACGCGCUGUCCAUCUUAUCUUAUCUUAUUGGCGUGAACAUUAAAAAACAAAAAGAAAUUCUAAAAAUUCUCUAAAAAAAGCAAAACAUCUUGCCAUCAAUUCGAUAGACUCAACCAUCAUAGCCAUUGAAUCUAUUAUAUUUUCUAAAAAAUUACCCACUUAUGCUAUUAUGAAAAUAGUCUAAAGUAACCCUAAAUCUAUAUCUAAAUUACCCACCUCUACCAUUAUAUAAAAUAAAUUAAAAUAAUCCCCUAAUCUUCAUUUAAAUUACACACCUAUGCCAUUAUAAAAAAUAAUUUAAAAUAACACCUUAAAUUUGCAUCUAAAUUGCCCACCACUAAUAUUAUAAAAAAUAAUUGUAUCUAAAUCACUCACAUAUGCCAUUAUUAAAAAUUUGAAUUAAAAUCACCUUCAUUAAAAAUAUACCUAGAGGUACAUCAAUAUAUGAUUUCAAAUUUCCUAUUCUUAUACUAUUAAUAUAGAAAAUAAUAAUUAAGACAUAUACACAUGAUACGCGUCACCAUUUAUAAAUAUAUUGAGAAAGUGAUGGGAAUAUAUAUUUUCAUGUUAAAAUAAAAUUUGGAUUCCAUUAAACAAAUUCAAGCGUAUACCUGCAAUGCAAAGUGAAAAGAAAGAAAAAUAUUCUAAACGUGGAUGAAAAUAUCGUAGAGUAAUUACUAACUAAAGUAUAUGAUAAUUGGUUGAAGAUAAUAAUUAUAUAUCUAUAUAAGUAUUGUGUUAGCAUAUUUAACAAAUGAGAGAGAUCCCAAGGUAAAUAUUUUGAUAUUAAGCUAUCUGCUCUUAUUUUUUUAAAAAAAAUUGUAGACCACAUAUUAAUUUUCACAAGACACGUUAGAAAAUUCUCACAAAAUUGAAAAACAUAUCAGGAUCAGUCAUGUAGACUCUAAUAACCAUAGCCAUUGGUCUAUUAUAUUUUCUAAAAAUUACCCACCACUAUUAUUAUGAAAAUAUUAUAAUGGUAUAUGCAGGUAAUUUUUUAGAAAAUAUAAUAAAAUCUAAACCAACAUCUAAAUUACCCACCGACGCAUUAUAAAAAAUAAUUUAGAGUAACCCAUAAUCUAUAUAUCUAAAUUAUCCAUACAUAUCAUUAUAAAAAUAACUUAAAAUAUCUUUCUAAAUUUGUAUCUAAAUUACCCAUGUAUGUUAUUAUUAAAAAUAAUAUAAAGUAACUAUCAAAAUUUUAAUCUAAUUAUAUGCAUGUUCAUUGUACCAAAAAUAAACAAAGAUAUGAUUUUAAAAUAACUAUUUCUAUUGUUGUUAAUAUAGAACUACAAAGUUCAGGUAUAUAUGCAUGAUGUGUAUCGCCAUGUAGACCAUUUAUACAUGUGUGGAAGGAAACCAUGAAAAAUAUUGAUUUCAAGUUAAACACAAUGUACGGAGGUGCGUUGUAAUUGUAAGGUAAAAAAGUAUGAAUUAAAAUCAAUCAAAACUUGAGUAUUGCAAAAAUAUUAAAUAACUAAAAGAAUAGCAGAUAAAUAAGUUUAAUUAUCAGAACAAAUAUAAUUUUUUAAAAUUAUUAGCCUGUGUGGAAGGACGGAUCGAUGAACUUAGUAUUUCGAACGGAAGAACAUUCGGUGUAGUUGUGAGCACGACCAUACCGAGCCUUACCCAAAGGGAAGCAACCAAGAAACGCAAUGGAUAUUUCAUGGGCUCCUUAGCUGGAGGCACGACGGAACCACAGCUCAGAGAACACCCGCUACAGAAAUAAAAGUAGAGAGAAUCUUCGCCUUCGCUGCAUUACUUUAAAAACUCGAAUUCUUUGUGAUCAGUCGUGCCUCCAAAUGCACAUCACAAGGCAUAAACAAAAGGGGGGAAGAAAACGAGAGCGAUCAUGCCGCCUGUCUGAACUCCGAAGGACAGCUUGGGCUCGCUGGUCUCUGUCUCUCUUCAGCCUUUUUUCUUCCUCCCUUCUGGAGCUGCCGGUCGUCUUCAACCUUGGAUGCACACACGAGACGCAUGUCUCUUGCCCCACCUGCACACUCUACCUUAAAGCAACACGUGCUCGACAACCUCCUGCGGUGCCUCCUGACUACUAACAGCACUAAGCCUUCUUGUAUAUAAUCUUUACACAUGCCGACAUGCGCGUAUGUUCAGGCGCCCAUGCCUCGCCGAUCUUCUGUGCUUCUCGUCUGCUUCCACCCCGGGAGAGUAGAGAAAGGGAUCGUCUCAUCAUUCUGCCUCGAAAAAAUCGCAGCUGAGUCGACGACGACGAGGAGGGCGGCGGCCGGCCGGCCGGCCGGCCUGCGAGCUGGCUGGCUAGCUCUCCGGUUCGGGCCUGGCGGAGGCUUUGCUGUAGAGCUCCAGGGUGUCGCCGUGGGUCGGGUCCAGGCAGAGCGCCGCCUCGCAGUCCCGCAGGGUGCUCGCGCUGUCGCCCAUCGAGUCGAAGAACGCCGCGCGGAGGUGGAGCAGCUGCAGGUCCGGCUUGAAAGCUAUGGCUCCCGACAGCUCCGCGAUCGCCUCCUCCUCCUUGUUCUCGUCCAUCAGAACUGUGAGAACGAAAAAAAAGAAGGCAAAAUUACUGCGCUCAUCAAAUCGAACAUUCUUAACCCACAUGAUUUGAUGAAACACAGACACAAAAAAAUCACAAAAGUGUAGCUUGCAUUACUUAAGGCAUGAACAGUACAAGAAUCCCAUGCCGAUUUGGAUUUUGGACUCACCGGCUGAUCUGUAUCUGUAAGGAUAGGUCCUCGUAGGGUCCAGCAGCGUCGCCGUGUUCAGGUCGCACAUGGCGGCGUCGCGCUCGCCGUACUCCGACCGUUUCUCGUACGCCGACGCGCUGCUGGUGGCUAUCCGCACGAGCUUGGUCAUCUCGUCGAACGCGGCCUGCUUCCUGUUCUUCAGGUAAUGGACGCGCGCCAGGCCCUGAUGCGCCCGCGUGUGCUUGAUGUUCAGCGCGAUGCCGUAGCACUCGGCGGCCUCGUCCAGCAUGUCGCAGUCCACGUAGAUGCUUCCCAUGUUGUUGUACGCCUGAUGAAGAACGUGAGCUGUGAGCAGAGACGGUUAGCGAGCAGAGACCAUGGAAAUGGUCAGGAGAAAUUCUUACUUGGCCCUUCCGGAGGUUGUCGGAAGCACAGCUGUUGGCGUGCUCCAGGAGCUGCACGACGGAGAGUGAGGAUUCCGUGUCCAUGCUGGAAUCUCCUAGAGCGUAGGCCUUCAGGAAGAAGGCCUCGAAUGAUCUCUGAAGGCUAAUUGACUGCUCGGCCUUGGCUAGUGCUUCAUCCCGAUGUCCACUGUCGUAUAGGAUCCAUCCUUCGUAUACAAGUCUCUCGUGCUCGUGGAGUGAACUGUUCCGUGCAUAUCGCAAACUACGCAUGGCCGCCUUCUGACAGUUUAGCCUACAAUGUACAAGAUCACAACGAAAAAGUUAAGCCUAUGGAUCCGGAAAACAACAGAUAAAUCUCUCCCUUGUUUCUAUAAAGCAAGCUGAUGAACAAUGUAGCAGACAAUUAUAAAUGCAAAGUUCUUUCCAGAAUUGUAAAUGUUAGCCCUCGUCGAUUUUUGGAUUUACUAAACAUUUCACAUGAACCAGAAGUUUGGGGGGGAAAAUGUGGUCUCAGCAGUCAGCACAUGAAAGAAGAGAGAGCAAUAGAUGCAGAUAUGUACCUUAGCAGGAGUAGUGACUGUCGAAACCGCAAGCUGCCGUUCCCGGGUUCCCUGGCGAGCAUCUGCUGCACAACUGCUAGGGAGCCGAUGUCAUCCACCGCCGACCACCGAUCAUACAGCUGCAUCCAGCAAUCCGCCAUAUCCCACUGCUGCACCUGCCCCCGGAGCAGCUCGAUCAGCUGCUCCCCGUGCAUCCUCCCAUGGAACAUCAUGUAGGUCGGAUCCAACGUCAGUAUCGCCCUCACAUCCUGCACGGCCAGCUCGUACUCCUCCAUCGCAAGGUAGAACCACGCCCGGAGCUCGAGGCAAUCCGUCGCCAUCUUGAACCCGAUCACCUUGCUGAUCUCGGCGAUCGCCGACGCCGCAUUGUCCUCCUCCAGCAACGCGCAAGCUCGGUACUUGUACGGGAAUGUCAUCGUCGGGUCGAGCUCCGUCGCCGACUGGAGAUCGGCCAGCUUCUCCUUGCCGACACAGUAGAGCGAGCGCUCCUGGUACAUCCACCCGGCGGGCUCGUCGUAGUCGCCGACGACGCUGUUCAUGAGCUUGUACGCGGCGUAUUUGUGCCCGCGCUUGUACUUGGCGCGCGCCUCACCGGCGAGCGAGUAAACGUGGCCCUCGGCGACGGCGGCCUCGAACCACUCCUGCGCGUCCUCGAACUCGCCGCGCUCCAGCAUGACGCACCCGAGCUGGUGCAGCGCCAGCUGCUUCUGCCAUGGGAGCUCCGCGCACUCGUUCAGCCUCUCCAGCAGCAUCACCGUGGUGUUCGACUUCAUGUCCUGCUCCAUGGCGACGUGAGAGAGGAAGUAGUAGAGCGCGAAGGACGCGUUACCGGCGAUGUCGAGGCGCUCCCGGCCUUCCGGGCUGCAGAGCAGGCGCGCGAUGUCCGGGUUGGUGAGAGACUUGGGGAGCUCCCGCAGGAAGGCCUGGAGGCAGGAGGCGACGAGGAGGUGGGAGGCCUCCUCGAGGCCGACGUCGACGAGGGAGUGGGCGUCGUCGACGCCGCGCACCAUGGCCGCGAGCUUGUUGUCGCAGGCCGCCUUGAGGCCGUCGCAGCAGAACUUGUUGGCGAAGGCGAGGAGCUGGGAUAUGAUGUCGGGCGGGAAGUCAUCGACGCGGCCGUGGCGGCUGUAGGCGGCGACGGCGCGCAUGCCGCGCGGCGUGAUGCCGUCGCGGGAGAAGUCGAUCCGGUCGCGGUGCGCCUCGGCGAACCCGCCGUAGAGGAGCGUGUUGAGCGGCUUGGAGAGCGCGGCGAUGCACGAGCGCUCGCACGCCACCUCCUCCUCGCCGAUGACGAACCACAGGUCGUUGGUCUCCGGCUCCUCCUCCUCGCUCAUCUCGGACGCGUUGCGCCUCAGGCGGUGGGGCGGAGGGGUGGCGGGAGGAGGCGGUGGGCGGCGGCACGGGCAGACCGGGUCCACGCCGGCGGACGCGGUGGCGAAGAGCGCGGCGCGCGGGCACUCGAGCAGCGGCGUCGUGGCGGUGCAGGGCGCGAGCGGCGGCGGCGCCGGGUCGAGCUCGUCCUCGCGGCGCUCGUACCGGAGCCACGCGGCGAGCACGGCGCGGCGGUGCGGGUCGUCCGCGUGGACGCGCGCGGCCCGCAGCGCCCGCCGGAGCAGCCGCGCGUCGCCGACCGACUGGAACAGAGCGUGCUGCUCCAGGUACGAGUCGCAGAGGUCGUCGUCGCCGCCCCCCGCGGCGGCGGCCGAGACCCGCCGGUACGACGCGGCGAGCGCGCCGACGUGGUCGACGGGGCGCAGGCAGGCGUCGAGGGCCGGCUCGAGCGCGUCGGCCACCGGGAGGCCGCACGGCAGGUGGUGCUCGGGCGCGAAGGCCCCCGACGUGGACGGCGCCGCGUGCGGGUAGUAGAGCGAGCCCGACCUCAUCGAUACGGUCUUGGGCGGUGGCGGGGGUUGGGGCUGGGGCCUGCCGCUCCCGCCGGCAGCAUCCCCUGAGCCGGACGUGGACGCCGACGCCCCGACGGAGCUCAAGGCAUAUAAUUGCGCGGCCUUGCAACCCUCGAUCAGCUUGAGGCUCUUUAUCGUCGUGAGGAAGUUAUUGGUCAUGGUCUUCCCGUCGGCGCUCGCGCGUGCCUUUGGCCGGCAAGCCUGCCGCACGGCGACGAUCGUGCCGGAGCGGGAGUUCCCGGCGGAACGGCUGGUGCGCGCGCGCGUCGCCUCCGCCCUCCCGCGCGGCCGCACGUCCCCGCCGUGCGCCCGGGCGAGACCUGUUAAUGCCGCUGGUUGCGGGGGGGCGGCGGGGAGAAGGCCGGGCGCGCGGGGGGGACGAGGCGCUUCGUUGGGGACGGAGGGGAAGGACACCGAGGAAGGCGGAGGUCCGUAGCUGCCACCACGGCACCACCCUCUUCUGCAGGAAUUUCCCUUUCGGAAAUUUUAGUCGUUUUUUUUCUUCCGUGCUGCUGUAACCGUGGGAUUUCGCUUGAAAUGGACCUCUUUCCCUGGGGAGGGACAGCACUACAGCAGGAAACGAGGUGAUUCUGCUUUGCAUUUUACAAAGCCUGCAGGGUCAAAAAAAAAUGUGCAGAAACUGAGGUUAACAUGUUGAUGAUGGUGUGGAGCCGUAAAGCUACACCAUCACAUACUGCAUAGAUCCCUCUUCCUUGUAUCGUUUAUAACUAUAUAUUCACAUUAUGAGCAUUAUCCAGCCUAGGAACCAAAGAAAAAUACCUGUUUGAUAGAGCUCCAUCUAAUUAUAAUUCUCUAUGGAAGCUGAUUUUUUGAGAGAAUUGAUUCUGUGGAUGAAAGUGAUCCUCUUUGAUUCUCUAACAUAAAUUUUUAAAUAAGGAUGAAGAAUCACUUCGAAGCUACUUUUUUUCCAGCUCCCAGCCUCUUACUUUAUUUCAGCGAAUCAUUUCACAGAAUCAGCAAGGAAUCAUCAGCUUGGGAGCUCCGCCAAACACGACCUAAAGUCCAUCAACUUCCGCUUAUCACACUUGUACAACUGACUAUCAUGUGAAUGUGUUUCCUGACUGUAGUUAACAAGGCAAUCAGGGGUUGCCUAACUAUACAUCAAACAUCAGGGCAUGUGCUAUCAUGCAACUGCAUUUGAAAUUAAAAUCACUGCUCAAAUUAUUUAUCUUCUAACCACGCCGAUGUUCUGAGUGUAUCAAAAUGAAAAUCUUCACAAAAAGGUAUUCACGGGACUUUAAAGGCAUAAGAUACUAUAUGCUUUAUUGGAUGAAGAUUUCUUAUCCUCAUUUCCUUUUCUCUCUCCCUCUUUUUGUUAAGAAGAAGGUGAUGGUAUCCCUCACCUCCCCAGGGUUCCACAUUAUCUACUUGUAUUUUUCUUGCAGAUGUUUUGUAAAAUGAUAAUCUCCACAAUGUUAAUAAAAUGGUAAAAGUAAUGAAUAGAGAGAGUUAAGGCUAGAGGAGGGAAUGUUGUUGUAAGUUGGGCGUCGCACUGUUCAGCCUCGCUUAAGAUAAUUGGGGGGUCACGAUAUGGAGCGAGUCGCGCGGGCCCCGCCGGUGCCGGGCGAAGGGAUUGGACGUACGUGUGGAGCAAUCAUGGGCGACUGCUGGUGAAGUGAUCGCCUAAUGAUAGGCGAGGGAAGGGCAGAUAGAGAUGGCAUGCAGCAGCUGGGGUGGCGGUGGGAUUAGCGUGUGGGCGAGCCACCUCUGUGGGGUCAUUAGAUACUGUUAGGCUUAAUUAACCCCCCGCCACCAUGAUGGACUGUGCCUGUGCGCGACGGGGGGAGGCGGGCCCCACGUGCUUAAUCCCGCCUCCCCGCUCUGAUCUCGGCAGCGAUCCGCUAGACCGCUACCGGCGCGUCGCGACAAAGCAGAGAGAGCAUGCCUCCAAGUCGACCUCGGACCUUUCGGAAGAGCCCCUGCUUAUCUGACGCUACAGAUAGGUUAACGUCGACACAUCGUGCGUUUUUUUUCCUUCUCUUGAUAGGAAAAAGAUAGGUAUUUAAAAAAAAGAAAAAAAGGAUAGGGAAAUGAAUUUUGGGAGGACACUCCCUGGGAUAUGGACGUGCAUGGAGAGUUUGGAUCCUUGUGCUCGUGGCACUGCUUUCCUUUAUCCUUGGGAUCGCCGAUGUCAUAAUGCCAGCACAGGAGCUAGGUGCGUUGUCUCGUCAACCAAGUGGACGGGGUACGUGGUGCCGUGUCGACCUGCUGUGCGGCCACGCAGCCGACCAGGAAGAGCGCGACCGAACUUGGAACGUUCAAGUGCACUGUACCAUGGGUGCGCAUGAUCACGAGUCAUGGGCGCCAUACGGCUUCGCGGAGAAAAGAAAGAAAUAAAGAGGUACAAAAGCUACAAACUCCACUUUAGCACUAAGCAGACAGUGUGUACUAGACUACCAGUGCGUGUAUGCUCUUGAUCCCACAAUAAAAGGAAAAAAAAUGCUGCAUGGACCCGGAUUUCAGGGCGUGGGGCGUACCUCUAAGUUUCUCGCUCGGCCCACGUUUAAAGUGGACCAGUUUAGAGAAGUGGCCUGGGUGGGUGGGUUUCGAUCGCGCAGUUUCUGGAGCCCAGUUCAUGACAGGCCAGCCCAUCGAGUCUGAGGCCCGCGUACAGAAAACCACCUGCGCAUCACGUGGCACGCGGCGCGCGUGAGGCCCGUGAUGCGAGCCACAGCUUCCCGCAGGCAGAGGCGCAGAGCACGGAUCAAUGCCAGCAUCCCGCGCUACGAGCGAGCGUGACACAACCCCGGGGGCGUCGAGCAUGGCGUGACCGGGUUCCCCGCCGGCCGAGUGACCGACGGGUCCUUCGAACUGGGCGACGGAACGCGGCCAUGGUUUCCAAUUUCCUGCACGUUCCCGUGCGAAGUGCGAUCACCCCGCGCCGCGGAUUUGCGCCCUCGGUGGCAUUUGGGUUGGGUGUGCUUGCCCCGCGGACGCCGUCGUGCGACCAUGUUAGGCGUGGUGCUCUGGUUGGCCGUUGGCUGGCGCCUGCCAAAGCUGUUCGGUCGCGCGCCUCGAGUGACCGCGCGCGAGCGGCGGCGCUGGGCUAGUCCGGAGGAGCCUGCGCAUUGGUGGUUGCCUGGGUUAGCUAGCCCGGGCUGCCCGGCGGCGCGAGCGGCGAUGAAGGACGGCAGGCAUGGCGGAAAUGGUGGUUGACGGCGGCGGCGAGGAGUUUCCGUUCGUUUGCCCACGUGCGUCGUGUAGGCUUGUGGCACAGUUCAAACUUCAAAUCCUCGAUGUUUUGUAAACGAAACUGAAAUGCAAAAACCCUCCGUAUAACAUAAAUUCUGAAGCAACCUGCAUCAGCUGUUAUAUCUGUUUCUGAUCGAUCUUACAGCGCUGUGCCGCCGCCGCCUUCUUUUUACCUGGCCAAACAAAAGCUGGGAAGCUUUAACGCCCGUCAGCUUCUGCCAAUCAUUGGAGUGAUGAGUGAGUAUGAUGGCAGAGCAAGUACACAUGCUGACAGGCACCACUGCUGCGCCAAGAAGCACGUUGCCAAUCAUUAGCAGAGUGAUGAAUAAAGACCGAGGACCAUGAUUCCAUAGACAUAGGAAGUAGGAGUAGCAUACUAGCUAGCAUCAGAUAAAGUACCCCAAAGAUACAUAUGUACUGGAUGAUUCCGCAACUGAGCAGCCGGGCAGCUGUUAAACCAAGAGGGAUUACAGUACUAGCAGUUUACCAAAGUGAAGCCUGAAUCGCUAACAAUAACACAGAUACUUUUCAGGCUAUUAAGCCUCUCUCCCUCUUUUCUCAGUUGAUGCAAACCUGCAAUAAUCAGUGAACUAAAAAAUCUCACCAUGUGCUAUCCUAUAUCUGGCUAAGCUUGUCAUGUAACCUAAACCGAUUUAACUUUCCAUAAGGGCAUCACAUCAAGUGCCUCCUAUCUCCAUGAUGCGAUCGGCUCUUUGGCAGAAAAAAUAGGCUGGAAUCUGGGUUGUGGCUACCUUGGCCAGCCUAUUAUCCUAGCUUCUCUUCUGCAAAAGAGAACACAAAGAUAUCAGGGAAUUGUAUCAUCUGAAUGAUUGAACGGUCAGACAUGAAUGACUUCUCAUGCGUCUACACAAUAAACACACUAUUGCUUCUGAACAACAAUAAGCACUCAUAGAAAUAUGAAUUCUGUAAUUUGUACUCUGCUGUCAAGAGGUGCAACAACACAUUUAAGUGGGGGCAAACUUUGCACAAUGAUCAGCACAAUGAUUAGUUUCGCCAGAAAAUACCAGUAUCUCCCGUUUGAAAUCCUACAUACCAAGCGACCCCAUCUUUCAAAAAAAAAAAAAAAGUGAUCCCGAAACCAAUUCAAGGCACUCGUUCCUUUCUGGAAAUAAAGGAUGUCUAGCCGAAUUGAAUCAUCUCCUGAUCAUGCGUUAGUUGGUCUUCUCUGUUCUCUCAACGAAUGAAAAUUUCAAGCCAUGCCGCCUCUCAAUUCCAACACUAACCAACAAUUAUCGAACACGAAUUGUGCAAUAAACACCUGGUGACAUGCUCUGCUAACGCAAAGCACGCGUUAAACCAAAACAAAGAUCAGGACUCACCAACUAGAAGUCGCCGCCGGCCGUUGCGGCGGCGGCGGCGCCGUCGACACCGACGGAGGAGGUGACGGCGACGUCGACGAGGAGGCGCAUACGCUCGAUCUCGAGAUCGCGCAUCGCCUCGAGGCGGCGCUCCUCCAGCCGCGUGGCUUCCCUCUGCUUCGCCGCCUCCACCCGCUCGUACGUCCCGGCAAGCCUGUCCAGAGCCGCCGCCACUUCCGGGCCCACGCAGCUCCUCCCGCCGCCUUCGGGGUGCUCCCCCGAGGCGGCGCUCAACGGCGACAGCGACACCGCCGUCCUCGGGCGCUUCGGCACCGGCGGCCAGUCGCGGGGCAGAGGAGCCCCGCCGCUCGCCUUAUGGUGGUGGUGGUCGUCGUCGUUCUCAUCCUCCUCCUUGACCUUCGCCGUCGUCGUGGCGCCGGCGGGACGGUGCGCGAACCCGGGAGGAGCGGAGGGCGCGAGGUGCAGCAGCGCGCGGAGGCGGUCGAGCCACCCGGACACCGGCGGCGGCGGCGGCGGGCCCCCCUUGGGCCUGGCGCGCUCGGCCCUGAGGCGCUUCUUGAGGUAGUCGACGCGGUUCUUGCACUGGUCGACGGUGCGCGGCGCGCGGCCGUCGGCGGCGCGGCGGGAGGUGACGGCGGCGGCGCAGGCCCGCCAGUCGGCGGGGCGGAGCGCGCCGCCGCGGGCGCGGAGGUGGCGCGGGCCCCAGGCGUCGAGCAGCGCCGACGUCUCCCCGUCGCUCCACGGCUCGGGCGUCCACGCCGGCGGCGGUGGCAGCGGGCGGCGGCGCGUCGACGACAUCGGGCGGGCGGGCGGGUCGACGGAGGGAGAGGCAGAGGCUGGCUCGAGAGGGAGGCGAGGCGGAGUCUGCCCGGGGUGGGUGCGGCCGUGAGGGGCGUGUGAUGCUUGUGCUCCUGCCCGAGCCCGAUCGAUCGAUCGGUCGGUGGCGUCGCGCCCCCGGCCCACCCUGGAUUGUGUCAUUGUGUGGUUACGUCGGACGCGUGUGUAUAUAUAUACGUGGGGUGCGUGGAAUGGGGCGUGCAUCCGCGGCACGGCACGGUGCGACGCGACGCAGGGUGUGGGUGAGUGGGGGGCUCGGGUGCGGCGCGGUCACGCUGGAGGCUUUGCUCGCUCGGUCGAACGAACGAUCGGGCUGGGUCGGCUUCCGUUGGUUUUGGUGCCGUGUUGCGGUGCGGUCCCGUGCCCGUUCGCUCGGCUAUGCCAGCGCGCGCGCGCGGCUGGAACGCUUGUCACCUUGGCCCGUGGGACGCGAGCCGUCACCGAUCGCCGGGGCGCGUCACGGUGCCGGGGCGGGGUCUCGUUGUUGGUUGCGUCGCCGCUCGCCGGGGCGCGGCAGACGGGCGGAACCUUUUCCAUUUCUAAAAGAACGGCAUCGUUAAGUUAACUGGAAACCGUAUAUUACAACUAACGUUAAUUGCUGUCGAGUACACCACGGUAAAGUAAACUACAGACACACCACUGAGCACUAAGCACAACCUAAAUAGCCAAACUACUCUCAGUACACUACACACCAUCCAUCAUGGUCAUCUCACCUCAUCUUCAGAGGCAGUACGUGUUAGUGCUACUCAAAUUCCAGUACAUGGGUUCCACUACGCGUUCUCCAUCUUCCACUGCUGCUCCACCUUCACGGCGUCCAGCAUGGCCCGCUGCGCCUCCAUCUCCAUCUUCAGGUUCCCGGCGCCGAUCCUUGCCAUCUCCACGCGCUCGUACACCUCCGCCAGCUUCGUCACCACCGCCCCCGGGCAGAACCCCGAGCUACUACUCCUCGCGGCCCCAUUCCUCGGCCUCCUCGGGACCGUCCAGCUCGCCGCCAACCCAACGCUUCCGCCCACCUCCUGCUUGACGGCGGGCGCCGGAGCCCUGGUCGCGGCCGGGAAGCCCGGUGGCGGGCCGUCAGCGCUGGCCAGGAAAGGGUGGAGCUGGCGGAGGUGGGGCCACCUCGACGGCGGCUGCCUCGAGAGCUCCUCCUUGUACCGCUUCUUCAGGGUGCGGACGCGGGUCUGGCACUGGAGGCGGGUGCGGUUGAAGCGGCGCCCCGCGGCGGCGCGGUGAGCGUUCACGGCGCUGGCCGCGGCGCGCCAGUCAUUGAGGAGGAGGUGGCGCGGGUGGCGGCGCAGGUGGGCCGGGCCCCACGCGUCGAUGAGGGUGGACGUCUCGCCGUCGCUCCAGUUCCCGGAGGCUCUCUCCGGCGGUGGCUUGCGGCCGCAGCUGGGCAUGCUUGCUGGGUGCGCGGAACUGAGCGGGAGGCUGGCUAGAUGAGCAGGCCGGGCGGUUGCACUUGAACAAGCGGACUAGCCGCGUGUAAUAACACGGUGGCUCUCCUCUUUCUUAUAAGCUACAACCAGCUACGUACUCACAGUUACCACGGUAAAUUUCGUGGGCAGAAGAGGAAAAUAUCAUUUGUGGGUAGCUGAGCAUUAUCCUGCUGGUGGUACUUAUCUUCUUCUUCUUCUCCUUCUUUUUUUGAUACCGACUUCUCUUCGAUUUGAGUGGGCAAGCAAUUUCUUGUGGGCGAGGGUAAACGUUAGUUACUUUCUAUACCCAACUAGCCAUUGUGAGACAGCUAUUGCAGAUGGCCGGAAUUACAAAAUUCCGUGCUAUGCGUGGCAGUUUAUUACUAGGAUAACUAACGAUGUGUAAAAACAAGAGUGAAUGAAAUUGCACGGUCUAUUUGCAACACAGCACUCUUCAGGGGAUCGGUUGACCAGUUACCCAAGUAGUACUGGCAAAUGAAAAAAGGGCAAGGCAUAUGCAAGAAUAUAACCUAUGGUUUAAUUUCAAGGGGGUUGCUACGGGGAAAUUUUAUAAUUUUGUUCAAAAUUUAACUGAAAUCCUUAUGUGAUUCCCGGCCUGAUCAUAGCUUCAAGGUCCCAGCCCACUCACUUCAAUUGGGCCGGGAAUGAGCCCAUCCAGACGAGAAUAAUAUGAUGCAUGAACGCUGCCGAUGGACUCCUAAGCCAAUUUCACUGAGAAGACAAGAGACGGCCACACACCAAUAUGUUGUCCAACCAAAGCAAUACUUAUUUGCUAUUAGAAACGCUGGCUUUGGCGCUAUAAAUCCUUAUGACCUGAAUGAACAUGCUCAGAACUCAAGCCACAAUUAAACAUGCAAUUCUGUAGGCGUCAGUCCGGGCGCAUUGAAUUAUAAAGGGUUUAUAACUAGCUAAAAUUUGAAAGUCAAAUCAUCUUUGUGCUAAACCUGUUAGGGUAAUACCCCGCUUUGAACUAUAGCAUCUAAUUGAUUGAAUAUUGUGAUAAUAUACCAUCACAAAGUUUAUUUGUGCAGAUUACUUUCAGAAGGCGAACUCCAUGCAUUUAUUUCUUACAACCCCGCGGUGGGAUGGACUGCAUCCAUCAGUUUGUAGCGUUUCUCUUGAACACCAGCAACACCCAUUUGUAUCUCAAUUAUUGUAUGUAGAGGUAUCUACAUGAAAAUAUUUCCAGUCACAACAAAGAAAGGUUCCAAUUAUACUACAACAUGUUGGCACAAGUUGCCUUACCUCAAUAUUUGGGACUUCCUCAAGUGGUUUGUCAGCAAAAUAUGCAUAAAGUGCUCUUAACACGGCCUAUACAGAAAAUUUCUCUCAGGUAUCCACAAUAGCUUAGUACCAAAAGGAUGUUCAGAAGAAUGAAAAAGCUGGUCCUUACCUGGUGAGCUAUGACUACAACUGGUGCACGCUGUCGUUCAAGCUCAAUUAUUACAGGUUCUAGUCUGGGCAGAGACGAAUGUCAGGAUUGAGUGGCAAGGAAGAUAAUAACAGUAACCGACUUAUGUAAAGAGGCAUGCAAUAGUAUCAAGUAGCCUUUCGGUCAAAAAGAAAAAAUAGUAUCAAGUAGCCCAUAUCAACCUUUGAAUGACGUCAAGGUAGGAUUCUCCUCUUGGAUAACGAUACCUCAGCUUGUCUUUUCGACGUGAUCUGAAGGCACUCAUGAAGUGAAUAGAAUGAGAGAUCAUACUGAAUAAUUGUAAUAACAGAUCAUGUACAAGGUGUCACCUACCAAAUUUAAAAACUACAGUACGAAUGCUUGACUAAAAUUCUCUUUAAGACGAGGGGGAAAUUUUUGAUAUAAAAUGGCAUGGUGUCAGUGACUUCACAUACUCAUAUUCUUCAGGUUUACUUUUCUUUAUCUCAUCAUAUGUCAUCCCAUCACAAACCCCAGCAUUUAUCUCAUCAAGAGCACGCCAUUGUAUCUAGAAGACAUGUGGGAAAACAAGUUAGUUUUUCUGAGAACAAUCAUUUGAAAACCUUUUUUAUUAGCUACAGAAACUAACCUUUGGAAAACCAAUGAUCGGAUGUGCUGUUAAUAUUGUCCUCUGGAGUGUGCUAGUCCAUAUCUGACUUGGUUGUUGCACAUAAAAUUAAUAAAUAUUUUUUUCUUGUUAUGAUGAGAAGCAAAUGGCAUACUUACAGAGGCAGUCCUCUCAGACUUCAGUCGCUUCUCUACAAAGCUUGCAAGCUUUCUUGAAUAAAGCUGGCCAGACUCACUGCACACCAAUUAUUCCAUCACAUGAAUGCCAAAAACAGAAGACUGUAAACUAGUAUACACGGAGAAAUACCAAUUUAGAAUCCAUGCGAGCAUACGGCAACACGAAUGGAGUUACUUUACCCAUAAUUAUAACUACCUCUGUUUUGUGUCCCCUUCGAUAAGUUCACAAGUAUGCUAAGCCUACUAAUACACCUACAUCUACCACCAAGGUUUAUACCUAUUGUGAAUCUUCUUAGUCUCUUUUAUUUCUUCUUAGACCCUUUUUAAUAUAACGAUGCGCAGCUCUCCUGUGCAUUCGAGGAAAAGAAAAUACAUAUCAAUCUAUCACAAGCCCUAUUUACAGCACAUAUAACACAAAGUUCAUCAAUGAUAAUCUAACACAGUAAGAUAACUAAAAAUCGCAAAAACAAGGGUGAGGUGUCUAUCCUGGAGUUAAACGUUCACAACUUCAUUCCUAUUUCGAUGCAAUGAUACGCGGUUCUCUUGUGCGCUUGAUGUAAAAAAGAGAGCAAAAACCACAGGUUAAUUAGCAAGGAAGGAUUUUGUUUUACUCAGAUCUGAUAUUUCACUGUACAUUGGUUUGCAUGCUGACAUACAACACUUACGGACAUUUUAAACUUUAUCAUGGAUUCUUCCGUACUGUGGCACCCAAAUUAAAAUCACAGCAAAGAGCUAAAUAACAAAAUUGCAGAACAAAGAAAUAAAAGAUACUAAUGACAGAAAUGCGAAUCAAGAAACAACCUCAAAGAAGAGUCUCCACCGAUUCUCCCUCUGACAUUAUCCAUACUUUCGCCAUGUCUCGUUAGCAGAAUAGGACGAGGUGUCAGAUGACAGUUUACCUGAGUUAGUUGAGAAAACACAUAUUACGAUUUAACUUAUAUCUAUUCGAACUUUGGAAGCGUUUUGAUUUUCACCUCCAGGUUCAGCCAAGAAAGCAAAAAAUCUCUUUUCACAUUGUGAGGAUUUUCUACCCAUGUAAUCUAUUAGCAAGGAGGAUUUUCUACGACUCAAUUACCACAUUGUGAAGAUAUGGAGCAGAGUGGAAAUUUUGAAAAAAAUACUCAGAUAAACAUACAGACAAUCAGACAGACCCCAAUAGAUUAGAUGUCUGUAUCAUUGAAUCACUAAAUAAGAUGCGCAUUACGAUUUGACCUGCAAGUAGAUCAGAGGGAACUACAGUUCUACCGAAUGUCAAAGAUAUCCAGUAGCCUUAAGGUGCACAUAAAAAAAAGAUUGGACUUGGGUAUGUACCAAGAAGAAAACAAUCCGUCCAGGCAAGUAACCACUUAUGUCAUUAAUCUGCAUGAAAAUCAAAGCAGGGUAUGAGAUCAGGAGUGUGUCACUAGUAGCUAGGCUGCAAGUUAAUAUUGCGUUAAUCUUAGAAGGCCAAAGUAGGGUAUGAGAUCAGGAGCAUGUCACUAGUAUCUAUGCUGCAAGUUAAUUUUUUGCUUCAUCUCAAAAGAGUACUUGUUUCUCUAGUCCAUAUACUCAUGAUAAACAAAAGGAGAAUCAGGUCAAGAUUGUGUAAUUAAUUGAGUAUGCAGUAGCAAUAUCAUGGGGAACAAAACUUUUGAUGCUGCUUUUACAUGUGUGACUUGACUAUUCACACAUACCUGUAGUUGGCCUCCCUUCCCACUAACCAUGUCGAUCAUUUUUAUGUAAGAGCCUUCUUCCACCGGUUCAUAUACCUGCGUUCAAGUUGUUUGCAUAUAACUAUUCCACAUUCUAGAAAAAAAAUAGUGUUCCUAUAUAAAGGGCCAAUUUUAUUGCAAUUGUAAUUUCUUUUCACCCCGGAUCUGCCAUCACAAAUUGCUUACUUCUUAUAUGCCAUUUGGUUUCAAUUUCUUACCAUCCUAUGCCAUCCACGCACCUCCUUUACUAUAGUCCAUAAAAACAUGUCCUAAAUUAACAAUCUACCCUCGUCUUCAAGCUCCAGCGAAACUCCUCUCAUAUCUCUCUGCAUGCCAUGGGCGCUGGUCUUCUGCGGUGAUUGAACUGGCAUCUUGGCCCAAAUUCAGCUGGGGCUUCGAGAUGCGAUGAAACGGAAGCAACAUGUAUAAUGAGUUGGGUUGGGUUUGUACGUGGGCUUUGAAUUUUGGAUAGGAACAGGAACAUAUCAGGGUCAGUGGCUCACAGAUGAAUUCAGGAAGAGAAGAAAGAAGACAAGGAAUGGAGGAACAAGAAGGCUUGGGCAAACUCGUCUUUUCAUACCUGUCAUGCAUUGACUGGACAAGAACGGUACGAAGGGCGAUUUUGCAAACAGAUGGCAUACAGCGGAUAAGCAAUUUUUGAUGACAUAUAAGGGUUUUAGGAAAUUUGCAAUGGCAUAAGGGGGAUUUUCUCUAUAAUAUAAUUCGGUAAUUAUGGACCUUUUCAUAAUAGGUCAAUCGCUCUUUGAAAUCCUGCACACCAGCUUCAAAAUCUGUCCUGCAAGAUAGAAGACGGUGAUCGCAUAAAGAAGUGCAUCAAUAGGAUGAACAUAGCAAGUAAAUAAGUUAUUUCUUACUGCUCUGCAUAAUCGGGACUUUGUUGAACUUUCAAUCGUAUAUUUCUCUCGAGAACAUCCUUGUCAUUACAUAUCGUUUCCAAAAAGAUGAUCUGGAAAGUAAAGGGAAGGACCCAUAUGUUAAAGGGCAAUAAUAAUACACCCCAAACAGUUACACAAUGCACAUACGUUGUGAACAAUCUUAUCAGAAUAUCUGGUUUAUGCAACUUUAGAAGAUUAAUUUUAUAAAUGCUGUCACAAGGCAAACCAAAUAUUCUUCCAAAGGAGUACACUGAAUCCAUUUUAAAACAUCAAUGUCUCGCAUCUUUCAACACAUGAGGCAAAUGGUCUAAAUUUUACUCUUAUGAUUGUAGUCAUCCACCCCUUCCCUAAACAAAUUUAAUUCUCAGAUUACAGAUCUUGAACAUGUUCUUCCAACUCUCCCCACACUACCAUAUAACACUCAGAAGAAAGAUCCAUCAGUCUAGGUUCCAAUGGGGUGGCAGUAACAGGAAGAUGAGUAACUCAACAAUGACAUUUUGGAAUCAUCUCAUAUGCUCAUAUGCUCUUAAUAUGUAACAAAGCAAGAACUGGAAAGUUCUCUACUAAAAGCAGUUUGUGCACGGUAACUCUUGUUUACUGGGUUUGCUGGCAAGAGCAGUCUUUGAAUGGUAACUCUCAGUUCAUUACAUUUUACUGGUAAAUGAGAAUGUUGAUAGUUUUCAUAAUUCUAACAUGGAAGAUAACGACAUGUUUGAAAAUGCUCUGGAGUGGCUGAUCCUAUAUAUAGUGAUCGGAUGGAAUAAUUCUUUGCUUUUGAGCCAGACCAGACCAAAACACCAGGCGAUGCAAUUUUUCAUAACUUCUAGUCCACAUGCGUGCGUUACUAAGAAGCAACUGGGCAUGAACUCUAAUUUUCACACCCUAGUGACAAACGCAUAGACCACCCAAAGAUGUUUCCACUUUGUAACAGAGGGAAGGUGCUUGAGAGAAUGCAAGUAAAUGGAUGAGUCUAGAUAAUAUAAUUCAUUGUAAACAGCUGUGCAAAUUUCUUAGCUUCUUCUGGAAUGAAUAUACAAGAACAACCUAUUUGAAGGUCACCCUUUUUCUAUUUAAACAGCAUUAUUGGCACUUGGCAGGAGACAAACGAUUCAAAAAGCCAAAAGGAUAUCCAAGAUGUCCACACUGAAUAAACUAUACCUUACAUUUUCCUUCAGCCAUUUUCAUCAGCAUGUUUCUCCGUAUUCUUGUGCUGUUUGUGGCAUCAAAGAUACCAACCUGUGGACCAGAUAAAAAGUUAAUAAUUAGAAAACACUAACACAGUGUUACCUAACUAAUGCCUUACCUGACCACCUUCCUGCAUCCAGGAUAGCAUAUCUUCCAUUGCUAAUGCUGCCACCUGAAAAAGCAUGGGGCCAGAUCUUAAAUUAAAAAAGAAGAAGAAUGCACGUAUUUCAUGAAAAGGCAUACAUGAUGCUACCCCUGUUCUCAAAUAGAUCCUGUUUUAGGAUGUGCGACACAGUUGGAACUAAUUCAUAACAAACGGCUAUAUUUUUCUUUAUCAUUUUUCAAUACAGCGGCAGCAGUAGCAAUUCACUGACCUCGUUGCGUGCCUCAACGCCCUCCCUGUUAUCUCCACGAAAGAAAUCAGCAGUCUGCUCAAAACAACUAGAUCCUAUUAGAAAUUCUUCUUGGACAGGGAUAUAUAGGACCAUAAUGAAACUGAAACUACAAACUAUAUAUUUCAUAAAAAAAUAGGAAAAAAUAUCAAGAACUAAAUACAAGCUUGAGAGUAAUAUUUCUGUGUGACUACUGUGAAAAAACACAAGGAGUAAAAAAAAAAUUGUAAAUACCUGAUUGGUUCCAUGCUUGAGCCGACGGUACUAAAAAAAUAACAAACAUGAUUAGUGACAUCAUAGAUAUAUGCAAUUCUCUCCAAAAUUAGGUUAAGAUAAAGUUCACCUUUCCAACAUUGAAGUGUUUUGUUUCAUGACCUAACCAUCGAAGAUAUCUUGUAAGUUUAGCUGCUGUAAAGGUCUUACCACGAGCUGGCAACCCAACCUAGAAUGUCAUCAUAUGAUUACAACAGAUGAACAUAACAGCAUGCGUACUUGAAGAAAAAGAAAGUGUGUCAAUGAAUUAACAGAAACCAUGCACAUAAAAAAUUAUAUAUUCUUGUAAAGCUGUGCCGUACAAAUUUUUUAUCGGUGGAGUACUUGAAGAAAACAAAAGGUAGCUGGGUACACAGUAAAUUUAAAUUCAUGCGGAUGAGUACAGAUGGUGUGCAAACUACAGGCAGACCAGGAUGCAUCUUUCAAAGUGGAGCAGUCAUAUCAGUAUAUCACUUAGCACUUAGCAAGUUAUUUUCUGUGGACUUUGGGUUGAACAAAAGAUCUGCUGCAAGAGGUUAUUAUACCCUUAAAGAAAGUCAGAUUUCUAUAAUUUGUACACAAAUGAUAAUUCUGUGAAAACAAAAAAUGUUCAUGUAGCAGCAAGUUAAGUAAUCUAGGCUAAGUGUGUUGUAACUACAAGGUAAAUCAACAUUUGUGAGUGUAUGAAAAUUACCAACACAAUGGUCAACUUGCGGUCCUCUUUUGGGCCAUACAUCUGAUCAGCUACUGCAGCUGCUGCAACAGCUCCUUCUGCUGCUGGCAUAUCCUGCUGGUGACAACUGUCAGAAGUUAAGAUGACAAAAAAUGAAGCAACAAGUUUUAACAAAUUCAGAAGCUGUUACAAGGAAUAUAAUAGGAUGAUAGGAACUCAGUCAUCUCACAUAAUGUGACAGAAUGUUAUAGUGAAAGUGAAAGUGUGAAACAAAGAGAGGGUGGAAAUGGAAAUAUUUAAAUACUAAGGCAGAAUCCCAUGGUUGUUUCUAAAUACGCAACACUUCAAGAGCUUCAACAUUUUGCAACUUUAACUGAAAGUGUGACCAUUGAAGCACAAGUAGGGAUGCAAGCUUGGCUUUUUCUAGGUCAUUGGGUUGACCCAAAACUCAUACAAUUGAACUAACCCGGAUUUCAAAGCAUGAAAAAUGGGAUGCUAAUGGACUAAAGUAGUGACCUACAACUACCCAUUGUGUAACCAACCGCAUCCCUAAGCACAAGGUGUGUUUCCAUGCAUUUACUGUUGUUGAAGGUUUGAGGUAAUUAAGGUGUGUACCCUCUGCACAUGUUGAAGCAAGUAAGGGCAUAUUUGGUGAUGUUGCCUGUCUUUCCCCAAUUUUGUCAACAGGCAAGAAAGAAUAUGCUUUAAAGCAUUCUUCCUUCCCUGGAACCAAACAUAUCCUAAGUAGUUAUGAAGUUCCCCUUUGGUACUUAUAGUUUAAGGCCUAUAAGAACGCAUCAAAUAGCCCAAUGACACUACAGAGAUUAUACUUGCUAUAAACCCAUGGAAAACAUUAAAGAUUUAGUAGUGAUGUCAAGUGUAUGUACAACCUUUGCUUCAGAAUCCAACUUAAAGUUGCUCACUGAAAAGGUUUCCUUUGUUGGUCUUGCAAAGUUUGGUGAGCCAACACCUCUAUCAACAAACAUUGCCCUUUGUUCUUCCAGUGAUGGUGCAUGCCCUCCAGUUGCGCCCUGAAGCAAACAAUUAUGAAACAAUUCCUGGUGAAUUUAUUAUAACUGGUAAAGUAUAUAUUCAUAGGGCUAUAUAUUCCAGAUGGUAAUGAAACGUUAAAAAAAGUACAUGAAUGACUAUAGGUCCAAACCUUUUCAGUUUAUAUCAGUAAAAAAAUGUUAAAAAAUUCAGAUAUAGAAGGUAAAAACUCUACAGGAGAAGGAACUUGUACAGAUAACAAAUUUAAGCUGACAACAGAUGCCAGAGAGAGGGAGUGGCUUAUGUUUCAGUAAGUAAAGUUGGUGGCUUCAUACCAUAAAUCCAUGCACUUCAGGCUAAUGAAUUUGUUCGAAUUAAUCCAACCAAAUUUUUAUUUCAGAAUGAACUGAAGAUAUAAAUAAAGUAAUUAACUUGCUUCAUGCAUGAACAAGUUAUGAUGACACUACUGGAGAAGUAACUUCGAAGCUGACAAAAUUAUCACAUAUUUCGGCCAAAAGUACAACUACUUUUUCUAUAGUGGAACACCUAAAUUACCACACUUCCAUGAUUUUAAGCUAACAAUUAAUCGAAUAUGAAACUGAAGUUAUACCUUCAUAGUGUUAAUAUAGUGAUUCGGGGAUGAAUCGCCUUUAGUCGAGUUGUACAAAAUGUCCUUUGUGGUAUCAUUGUUUGAGGAACUCCCAGUUUGCAAUAAUGAACGUGGAUUUUCAGUCAAGUUAGCUGCAUAAACAACACCUGAACCCAUGUUUGGUGUUGGAACUACAUACUUCUCUAAAUCAAGCUCCAAACCAGAAGCGAAGCCAUUCUGUUUGAAUGAACAAGAGAAAAUUGGCAGAACAGAAAAGGAAGCAGCAUUUACUUCGAAAUAGAAACAUAGACAUCAGCUUUGUGGGAAGAGUAUUCUCGUGAAAUUCAGGUUCUACCUGUGAUAUGCUUCAUAAUUUUUAUAAUAUAUUUUGAUAAAAGAUUUACAAUCAUACAUCACCAGUAAAUUCAUCAUGUCAUUAUAUGUGUUGGAAUAAAUGUGUUUUCCUAGAACUUCCAAAAAAGGGGGCAAGUCCCACAACCAAGUCGCAAGCUGUCCAAAGCUAUCUACAGCUCAAACAGCACCCUCGAAAGUAUCAGACUGUUAAGUGCCAACCAUUGGUUGGAACCCCAUUCUAGGUACCUCGCUGUGAGCCUGUGGCCAGUGUCACUUGUCGAAUAAUUGUUUUUAUCACCUAUCUUGCAAUGUUAAAUUUCUAUGCAGACCACUAAAUGGCUAUAUGUCAAUAUGAUUAGGUUCCUUAUUCUCUACUUUCUCUAGAAAUUGCCUACGUAUAUCCAAACAUAAAAAUAAAAACAGUGAAACAGACCUUGGCCCUGCCUUCUAACCCAGUGUUGAUAGUAAUAUCAUGGGCCCCUCGCACCAUAGAAGGCAGAACAUACUCCUGAUGAGCCCUCCAACUAGCAGCCAGGUCAAAUGGGGACAGCAUUUCUGUCUCAACCUGAACCUUGCACUCAAGUACAUCCUUCCCUUCAUUGAGUUUAAACACAGCAGUCCUCAUUUCAACUUCAUUGCUCUGGCAACCUAGAGAUCGGUUUGGUCCCUCCUCAACAAUGCACUGAGAGCUAUCAUUUUUUUGCUUUAAAAUAAACUUGAAAUCCAGCGGUUCUAGUAAAACAGGAAAAAUAGAAGGAAAAAAAAACUAGUUAGAAUGCUAACAAUGGAAACAAAAUCCUAGAAUAUCAGUUUACAAAUAACUAGUUUUAGUACUAAAAGCAAGCUUCGCAUACUACAUUGUUCACCUCAGAAACUAGGAUUCACUAAUUCAUCCCAAUAAGAAAAGUACCCCGGCCCAAUUAUUAAAUUACCGGAGCAUCCCAACUUUACAGCACGGAUUGCGCUUUUCCUACCCUAAACCUCGUCAUGGAAGAACCCAAACCCUUUGCGGCCCUGCUAAGCUAUCAAACCCCCGCGAUCAAAUAACUCACGAUGCUGCGAAGGGACGACGCAGCUGAGGUCCCACACGGCGGCGGCCGCCCGCUCCAACGGCAGCUGCAGAAAAAUAAAAACGAAACGCGUCAAAAAUCCGCUCCGCACACAUAUCUCGCGAGCUAGAGGCGAUCCGGAGCUUACGGCCUUGCAGGGGUCCCACGAGCCGGCGACAGGAUGGGAGCCGAAGAGGUGGGGGUCGAGGUCGAGCUCCGCGAGCCAGGGGCUCUCCAGCUUGACGGAUACGAAGAGCUGGUCGGAGAUUCCGCCGGAGCUCGCCAUCGCCGGCGAGAUGGGAGCCUUUGUGGGACUUGCAAGGUGCCGGAGCCCAGAAGGAAGCGUCGAUGUCGUGGGCUCGCGGAUGUGGAGUGGGGCCGACACGGGAGCACGAUCCUCUGAGUACUGUACAGAGAAUAUACUUCCAGAGUCACAGCAAGUGGGGCCGACAACAUGCGUGGCCCGCAGGUCAGUCAUUAAUACGGUGAUAACGACAGUAAACGCAGGCCCGAAGCGCCGGGAAGUUGGUGCGCCGUGCGCGGACGGUGACGGUGCGGGAUCGUCUCGCUGACUCGCUGGCACGUGGGUCCGGAUGAGGUGGCGAGCUGUCCCCGAUCCCCCGUCUCCCUCCACGAAUCCUAGUGAGAAAAACUGCGGGGAAGCAGUAAACGACGGCGACCGGCGGCUGCACGUCGCCGCGGCGAGAUGACCAAUUUGGACCGGCCCGCCGGUUGUUUCUGCCGCGAAUUCGCGUCUCAUCGCGACUGGGAUUCACCCAAGCCUGUGCGAUACAGGUACUUGUGGAGCAGUUGCAGGAUAGCAGUAUAUCUUGCCCUUAUUCAUGUGUGACUGCAGAUUUAGCCAGCGAUUACUCAUUUCUCAUGCCUGCUUCGUUUUGUCUUGCCUCGCGCAUUUGUCUUGGAUGGUUCUGUACUCGAUCAUAUGUUGGUCGAUUAAUUGUUUUGGAGAGCGCAUCAUAGUAAAUGAGUGAAUGUUGGUAGAAAUUUAGUUCGAAUGUGUGUGUCCAUAACUUCAUAUGUAAGAUGCGCUAAGAAUUUUCGGAGCCCCAACAUGGAUCCAAGUGACCAACAACUGAUGCCUAAUAAAUUAAGCUUUAUAAAAUGCAGCAUUAUCCUCAAGAUUUAGUGGACUCCACUUGGAGCCAACCUCGGCAAAACUUAGUAAUCUAUGUGUGAUCUCAUCGUCUCAAUUUUUAUUGAACGCAUGUGAACUCAGAUCACUCUGACUUGCUUGCAUAAGCCUUUAGUUCUUGAAAUGCUUUCCGGCAUCCUUCAUCGAAGCCACCUGCAAGCUGCAGAUUUGUUUUUGGCUCAGGCCGUUAAUUAGUUUACGCAAAUGCCAAUGCCAUUGCAAAGUAAUUUGUAGUUUGGAAUAAGUUACCUGAUGUAUGCGGAAGGCAAAGCGGACACCUUGCAGAAGGAGCUCUUCAUCAUUUGCAAAUGGAUCUGACUUCAGUGUGUUCACAAUGCGGUUCAUGUACUCUUUUGCAAGCUUCAAGGAAGCCAUCUUUAGCUGUUUAAUGCAGGAUGGGCAUGCACAUGUGUCAUAUGUCUAUUAACGGGACUCAAGACUUUGUGCAAUCAAGCGUCUCUUCUUUAUUGCAAGCUGUGACAAAAACAUACUGUGAACAAUGUUGCCAGUUUGCGAAUACGUACUUGGUUUAUGAUUCCGGAGUCAAGCAUCCAUUCCCAUGGGAUCUUCAGAUCCCUGUAUCUUCCACUUGCACUGUCCCUUACUCGUUCAGUGUUAUGAAUACCUUGUUCAAUUCUACAACAAGGGAAAUCACAAUUUGGUGAAUGCUGAUUCCUUGAUUUAGUGAUGCUGCAGAAGCAGGAUCAAAACAAAGUAGGGAUGUAACAAUUUCUACUCUGUUAAACACAUUCCACUUAUCUACUCACUUAUCCUGCAGAGCCUGCAUGCGCUUGAGAGCCAUAGGUGUAGCCACUCUCCUGUCAUCAUGGAAGGAUGAUGCUUCUGAUUCUAGGUUCUUCAGAUCUCGAAAGGUGAAUGCUGCUUCUCUCAUGGCAUCUGCUUUCUUCUCAGGCCAGUUAGGAAAGUGUUUGAGCACUGCUCUUUCAUCCACAAGGUAUGACAAUUCCCCAUCAAGCCACUUCACAAACUCUUCAACAUCAGCUAUCUCUCUGUAUGCGGCAUUCUGAACUUCACUUGCGAGGAAGUUCACAAAGUUGCCCUGAUUUUCUACAUCUGAUUUAAUCUGUUGGAAUGGAAAUUAUAACGGGGUGUUUAGGUUUAGUUCUGAAAAGAGUUUGAUAGGGAAAAUCACCGCCACUACCAACACUAACAAAUAAGUGAUGGUUUGGACAGACAUGGUAACCCAUAAAGGGGAUUUGACUAUUACUUUCUAUUGUAAAAUAUUUAUAAAACCUGGUAAAACUAACUAUCGUGUAAAUGUUUUUCUAGACAAACAUACACAUAUCAUAACCUAAAUAAUUAUUAAGAUACUGUAGCAAAGUCUAAAAGGUUCGACUGCACACACUUCAAAUUUGUUUCAAAAUGUUUCCUUUCUACUUAAGGCCCUAUGAAGAAUACUAAAGCAUGACUUAAAUUCUACACCCAACUGUACAAACCAUUAUCCACCAUUACAUAUUUUACUAGUAGUAGUUCGACUAAAGAGAUGUGAACUAUUAUCAACUCUAGUUUAGCAACACAAAAAUUGGUGAAGUUUUUUUUGAAUGUUAUUAGAGUUCUUUUUUAAAUCAAAUAUACAUAUUUGUAAAUGGAGAAAUUUUUAGCUUAAAAACUCUCUGAAAACUACCUAUUAGCUACCAAGAUAGGCCCAGGCAGGGGUAUCAGUAAUUUAUCUCUGAAUCAACAGCUGAAAUGGUUGUGCCCAAGCCUCUAUCCAUGGUGAUACGUCGUUCUGAAUCAAACCAAACAAAAUCUUGGCUGCUCUCAAAGUAGCACAUGGAUGGAGAGAGAAUAUAUGAUAUAUAUGAUAUAUUCUGAUGAGUAACAUGUUAUGCAAGAAACAGAUUUGACUUUAGAUAUUCAGAAAUUAAUUUCUUGGCAGCAAUCCUUCUCCAACGUCUCUAAUCCAGUAAAGAACUGAUAGCUAAUGCCUUGGAAGUGGGAAGAAACAUUAUCCAAACCACUUCUUGCAAACUUUUAUUUUAAAAAGAAUAAAAGGACAAAGGGGGCAUCAGUAGAUAAGUAGAAGAAUAUGUUAUACAUCGAUAUGCUUGAAAAUGAGAUAGAAAAUAUAUGUACUUACAGCUAAAACAUAAGCUGAUCUGUUCUCAAUCUCUCCAAUCAUCUCCCUGCUGUUAGUUGCUGCUGGAAUUCCCACGGAUCCAGACUUUGCGUCGUUUUUGCCUUCACGGCGUACUAACGAUCGGUACAACUCGACUACCUCUGGCACCCUUUGUAUUGCCUUUGGGCUUCUCUGCAACUUGGAAGGUAGUGGAGGUGGUGGAGGAGGAGGAGGGGCCAUGCAUCCUUCCUUGCUCACAUUGGUCUUUGGUUGGAUGCAUGUCGGACUGGGUGGUGGAUUUGGAACUCUUGGUGCCCUCGAUCUCACUAGCGUUGCCCUCGAGAAUUGCUGCCUGCCGUGGCACAAUGAGCUGUUGAGAUCUACAGCUUCUUUUGCAUCAUCGUUACUCUGGACAAACUGCUUUUCCUUGGAGUAGCUGAUGCUGGUUGCAGAAUUCUCCAGCUUCUUCCAUAGCAUCCUCUUAUCAGUGUCCUGCCCUUCAAGAGAGGAGACCUGACCUUUUAAUCGGCUCACUUGGUGUCUUAGUUGCUUGUUCUCCUCUUCCAGAGCACGGUUCCUCUCGAUCAGGCCAUGGAGCUUGCUUCUCAGAAGCGCAACACAUGCAUCGCCCUCCCUCAUCAUCUCUUCCUCAUCAGAGAAGAUGAGGUUACAGUAUGGUGGUAUUGGAUCCUCUCAAUAUAUAUGUGUCCUACCUCCUCAUUCAUAUAGUGGUAGCAUUAAAGGCGAUGUUUUAUAAGUGAGGUGCUGUAUCACUGGCUAGAGAAACUUACAAAUGUGUAAGCAAGAAUGGGUGGAGCAUUGAGUUUGGUGGGAGCUGUUGCUGGGCUAAUUACUUGUCCUUAAAGUGAUCGCUAUGGGGUAGCUGACUUGUCUGUGGAACUUCACUAAAGUAAAAUGCCGUCAUUACUUGCAUUAUUUUCUCACUUUUUUCUGUGUGCCGUUUGGAUCAUUUGAAUUGAAUCACCCUGGUUUGAUUCCUGUUCACUUAGCAGGUGCUUUUGAGAUAUUAGAUUUAGCUGUUGGAGUGCUAUGCUGCUCUAGCAAAGAGAAAAACUAGUUUGGUAUCUCCUUACUUCUUGUUUUUCUUUGUUUUCUAGUCUUUAUUCUUUAUCGGAAAUUAUGUUGCUUUCUUGAUUCCAAUGGUUGAUUUAUUCUGACUGCAAAGCUUGAUUGUAAGCUUUCUUCUGUCUAAAGUUGUGUAAAAGGAGUUCGAUGGAGCUCCUUUACCAGCCAUAGCUGGGGACAAAUUUUGCUAACAAUAGGCAAGUAAACGUUUUAAAUUAUAGGAAGAAAAAGAAAUAAAGGGAAAGCCGGCCAAAACAGAGAAUAAAAUGGAAAUAAAUUCAGGAUGUGUUUACCUUCUAGACGCAUGAAUAUGAUCCAUUCCUUCAGGUACUUGGUUACACACAUUGUAGAAGUAAUUUUUAUUAAUUUCUGAACUAUAGUAUUUAUUGCAGUUACAGCAAGCCUUGCAGAAAUAAUCCUUGUGAUUUCUGAAGAUUCAUCGCUUUGAGGGAAAAAUGAUGAUUCAAACAGAGAUUUUCAUUUGGUACCAGAAGAAAGGUAAGCAUAUGCCCAUGUCACUCUCAAUGGGUUUACCGUUUAUGGGGGAAAUGGCUACAUGGAUUGGUGUCCCUACAUAUUAAGGUUCUGAAACUGUUGCCAGAGGUGGCAACACGGAAAGCAGUACAGCGUAAACAGAGAUGACAGCAAGAAGUUUCCCUCUGUAACAUGGUGCACAGGUUCUAAUUAAAGUUCCCUGAUGCGUCGGAAAUUGCUGACAUAUUGAAGGAGUUCGUGGAUCCGGAGACGUUUGGAUACCAGGGGCUAAACUUUAGCCCUGUCAUAUCGGAUAUUCGGAUGCUAAUUAGGAGGAUUAAAUAUGAGCUAAUUACAAAACUAAUAGCAGAACCCCUAGGCUAAAUCGCGAGACGAAUCUAUUAAUCCUAAUUAAUUCAUCAUUAACGAAUGGUUACUGUAGCACCGCAUUAUCAAAUUAUGGACUAAUUAGGCUUAAUAGAUUCGUCUCGCGAUUUAGCCUUGAGGUUGUGCAAUUAGUUUUGUAAUUAAUCUAUGUUUAAUACUCCUAAUUAGUGUCCAAACAUCCGAUGUGAUAGGGGCUAAAAUUUAGCCCCAGUCUCUCAGUCUCGGAUCCCACAUUUAGAUCGCGCACACGCAUAUAUAUCAAUAUAUGACACCCAACAUGAGCAAUUGGAUAAGCAUUUACCAACCAGCAAUUUUUUUCCUUCGGAAUUGAUUGACAAAACUGCCAGAUAUUUGAUGUAUGGUGCAUGAACCAUGAAAGAUGCUUCCUCAUGAUCUGUGUAUGGCACCUGAAUGCAUCUGCCACUGUGUUUAAAGAUUUAUCGGCAGUCUCACACAUAAAUGUGAGGAACUAUAUAAGGGGAUGUUUGGGAGGAGGGGGUUAAAUUUUAGCCCCCGUCACAUCGAAUGUUUGGACACUAAUUAGGAGUAUUAAAUCUAGACUAAUUACAAAACUAAUUACACAACCUCUAGGCUAAAUCGUGAGACGAAUCUAUUAAGCCUAAUUAGUCCAUGAUUUGACAAUGUGAUGCUACAGUAACCAUUCACUAGUGAUGGAUUAAUUAGGCUUAAUAGAUUCGUCUCGCGAUUUAGCCUAGGGGUUCUGCAAUUAGUUUUGUAAUUAGCUUAUGUUUAGUCCUUCUAAUUAGUAUCCGAACAUCCGAUGUGACAGGACUAAAAUUUAGCCCCUGGUAUCCAAACGCCCCCUAAAUCGUCUAUUUGCAGAUAAUGAAGCUGUACCAGGGAGUGAUCAUUGCAGUUUACAAUCAUUCUCAGUCAUCUGCAUUAAAGUUCCGCAGAUCGAUGAGAAGAUGCAUAGCCGGAAUCUGAGUUAGUGUCUCCAGUGUUUCUGCUACGAAUUCCGACAAACAUGUGGCUAUUCGUACGCUGUUCAUCAUCUACAACUCAUUUCAAAACCAACGUUGAUAAUAUGAGCACAUCUCGUCGUGUUUUGCAGACACAAAUGGAGGACACUCAUCACGAUCCGGAGUUGAUUCAGAUUUCAGGCGGCCUUCAAGCCGCCAAACAUCCAGUACAAUGAGGCACCCCACUUUUUCUUCCUUGAUCAAACUUUUCACCGGAACAUCAUUGCGUCAGUGAAGGCAACCUCACACUUGCCACGGUGAAAAGUGGGUUUCACUCCGGCCAUUGCCGUCGCCGCGCUGCACCCAGGACGGCACCGUCCGUGUAGGGAAAAAAAAAUCCGGGCAACGUGCGCGUCGGCAUCAGCCUUUUCUGGUGUGGAACUUUUGGGCGGUGCUUGAUCCGACGUUUUGCACUGGACUUUCGUUGUCAGUCGUACACAAGAAUGGAGCCGAUUUCGUCGCUGGAGCUGACGCCCUUGUUGAAUGGCAAGAUCACCCCGGGCCUCCAUCUUCGUUUGGUGAGUGAUCCCAUCACAAUGUUAGAUCAGGAAUAGCAUCACAUUUAGACCAGAGGGCUGAGAACAGUUCCAGUCUUUCACCCGGGACUGCCAAACUGUUUACCAUGUUUUCCACAGGCUGGUAAACUGGUAGCCCGUAUUUCGUAGGACAGUAGAAGUGAAGGAAAAAUAGUUUGUUGGAGCCACUUGCUUCACCAACAGACACACCAGCGUUGAAUGUUAAAUGGAGGCUACACCGGCGUAGCCGGAAUCCAAAGAAACCCCGGGGUUGGCCAGGUACAACGUGCUAAGCAAUACCUAUUCCUCCCCAGGCCUGCACCUAACUUGCCGUUCUUCGAUUCCAAGUUACUGUUGUCACCCAGAGGUUUCCCUUUUCUGCACCAGCAGUUCCACAUGCCAUCAGAAAAACCGAUCUUGUUGCCUUGCCGACAUUCGCACGGUAUGCAAUCCGGAAGUUUCAGUUCAGCGCUGGUCUGAGAGACUGAGAGGUCAGACAGUGAGACACAGGAUUUCAGGGCCAUCUGCAGUCGAGUGAAGAUGUCCCGAUUCUUCCGAUGUCCAACUGAAACCGUGGCUUGUGAAUCAAGAGGGAGAGUACUGUGGCCGUAGGCGUGCGCGUCGCGCCAGGACGCUGGACGCAGGUCUAACUGGAGUUUGGUGUUGCUGGUCUGCUCUUAAUGGAACAGAGGCGAGUUUGGUGGCCUCCCCCGCCGCUGGUCCUGGCGAUAGGAAAAGGGGGAGGCAAUAUGCCGCCGUCCGUCGCGCUCGCCGAGCUGGACCGGCCGUCCACGGGGCUUCGCCCACACGCACGGCCGACGUGGGAAAGACAGCGACCCCGCGCGGGCGGGCACUGCUGCGUCGCCCUCCAGGCUUCCAGAGUUCCAGUCCUCCCCGCCGCCACGGCCAGUGUGGCGUGGCCAUUGGCCACCGACACCUGCGCUGCGCCCCAGGUUCUCUCAGGCCUCAACGUACAUGCAGCCUGUUCGCUUCAGCUUAUUCAGCCGGCUUAUCAGCCACCAAACAGUAUUUUCCUCUCACAACAAAUCAGCCGUUUCAGCUUUUCAGCCGGCUUAUAAGCUGAAGCGAACAGACCCAUGGUACGUGGUGCGAAUUGUGAUGAUAUGUGAUCCAUCUGGCGCUGCGAUUUCCAGAAAGAAAUUGUAUGUGCGGAAUGCUUCGGAGGAGUUCGGUUGAGCCUGCAGAGCCUUCAGCCAUUUGGGCGGCUUCCCCACACUUUCAUCGCGUGGCCCAUUUGGUAAAGCCUCACAAGGUUGUGGGCUGACUGGCCCUAAGCUUUCAAGUGGCCUUGUCAGACACGGCCUGACUUUUCUUUCCAACCAAAAGAAAGGUCGUUGGACCGGAUUUCAGUCAGUUUCGGACCAGCUGUUAAGGUUACAGGUCCAUCAUUGUCAGGCCGGGCCGCGCUUGAGCCUGCCGAAUGUUGACAUGAAAAAUGACGAAUGAGAUUAGCGCGAUGGUGGGUUGCAAAGUUAAAAUUCUUAGGUAUGUUUAGCAGAAUUCUACCUCAGGAAAAUUUACUCCACUUCACAAACUCUAAAAAGAAUUGCAGCCAAACGUGUCUAGCUCCACUAAUUCCGGCUCUAAGAAAAAAGGUGGAGCAGGGGAUCAGAUCCACAUUUUUUGUGGAGUAUCUCAAGAGGUGCUCCAAAACCCCCUUUUCAGACCUCCUGGUGGAGUUAGUGGGUAUUUACCCACCGUUGCCACCCAUUACGCACAUACCGUUUCGAUUCACGAAAAUAAAAACUCCCGUUCGGCCCCCCAUCCCGUCGCCCCCUUCUCUUCCUGUCGCUAGACCACCACCGCUGCCUAAAUUGGGCGCCGUCGGCCCAAUCUCCGGGGUAAAUGGAUGGAUGGCUCCUGGAUUGAACCUCCGCGAGGCAAGCUCCACCCGACGGUGGCGAGCUCAAGCCUCGGCGCGUGCAGCAGCGCCCCUCGCGCACCAUGGCCGCCCCGCGGGUCUAGGCUGCACCAUUGCCGGCAGCCUGGACACUCCACCGAAUGAAGCCGACCGCUACCGCACCUUCGAGAUGCCGAGCUGAGCAUCAUCCACCAGGCGACGCCGACGGGUUGCUUCCGAAUCGCUGCCACCCGUGCGCCGUCGCCGGCCUUGUUGUGCCGAUUCACUGCCCAAGGUCGCCGCUGGAGCUAACCAGCACCGCCAGGAGCUUCACGAGGUCGAGUAGAGCGCAGCCAGUCUGCUCCCUCGCUCGUCCGUCCUCCGGAGCUCGGCCCAACGGCGGGCGGCGAGCUGCUGUUGUAUGUGCGAUUGGGUGAGAUGCAACAACGCUAGUUGGUGAAAUUAGAGUAGCAGCUGGUUGCUUGACGAUUGAAGCUGAGGGAGAGCUACGUGCUUGUGCUGGACGGAUUCAGGGGAGAGGAGUGGCAUCAGGGGAGAGGAGUGGCAUGGGGGACAUGCUUCAGUGGAUUUGAUUUGAAGGGGUUGGUAAAUUUCUUGCUUACUGAGAUGAACAGAUCGAGGAAAGAGUUGGACAUUGGUGCGUUGACGAGAGGAAAUUGGAACUUGGGAUGCCGGCAUGCUUUCGGAUACUUGUACGAGCAGCGUCAUGAUUUCGAGGACGAUGUUGAGCAGCUCUUCGACGACGCCCUCGCCGUGGCUGCUCAUGGUGCGGAAGGGAAAAGAGAGGAGAGAGGAAGAGGUGAGGAGAAAAGAGAAGACAAUGACACCUGGACCCAUUCACAGGGGGUAAAAUAGACUAUUCAUAACAAGUUCCUAUGUUUUUGGAACUGGAACACUGCAAUCAACCAAAACACGUAUAUAAGGUCCAUGAUUUUCUGAAGUUGGUAGAGUGAAGGUGAUUUUUGUGAUGUGGGUGCACCCACUUAACCAUCUUCUAUAGGAGGAGCCCCGGUCUGUCGCAGUCCCCAGCAUCGUCAUCUGAUAAUCAGGUACCUGAAGAAAUUGACUGGAGGGGUUCGACAAUGAGAUGAAAAGGUACCUGACGUCUCUUUGGAGGGAAUUCUCACUGCACUGAAAGUGCACAUCAGAAAUUGAUUCGCCAGAAUGCCAGGUCCGUGUCUCCUCUUGUAGGCUCUCAUGCAGGGACUAUGCUGGUGGGUGAAUCCCAAGAGUUCUGAAGCAUGAUGGAGUCCGAAAGUCCUAGGAUACUGAUUCCGUGUCAGUAUCACAGUUUGUGCAACGGCUGGCUGCCGGCCUGAUGCAAACUGUGUCGCAGACUUCCCCGGUUCCACCCGCCACCGAUCUAGAUCCGAGCUGGCAAGAACAAUCUAUGGUCGCCUGGUUUACGUCUGACGAGCGCCGCCCAGCCCCCUGUUUUUUUUUUUGUGUGUGUGUGGCGGGAACAGCCCCCUGGGUUUGACUUCUGCAUUGACUCAUCGGCUACGCGAGCUGCGAGAGGGCAACGUGCACGAGUUGGCCGCGCGCAGGGUCCAGCUCCGGUGCUGCGUACAUGCAUGCUGGCGGCGGCGGUGCGGCGUUGGAAACCUUCGCUACGGCUUCGCUCUCGCUCUGAAAACUGCUGCGUACUCUUCUCCGGUGGCAGAUGAUCGUUUGUUUAUUUGUCUACGACUGGAACUUGACCCACUUGACCAAUGUAAUCGUUUUCUACCAUAAAGCUUUAUGCUCAGCUCAUACGUGGCGAAACAGAGCACCGGAUUUCGGAUCUCAGUAUUAUUAUUACAGCUGGAUUAUUACAGCUGGCUACUCCCUCCGUUCCAAACUGUAAGUCAUUCCAACUUUUUUGGAGGGUCAAAUCAUCUCAAGUUUGACUAAAUUUAUACAAUAAACUACGAACAUUUAUGAUACUAAAUAAGCACCAUUAGAUUCUUCACUAAAUAUAUUUUCAUAGUAUAUCUAUUCGGUGCUAUAAAUCUUCUUAAUCCUCUCUAUAAUUUUGGUCAAAUAACUCUCCAAGAAAGUUAGAAUGAUCUACAAUGUGGAACGGAGGGAGGAGUACGUAAUCAAGGAGCAAUAGUUAGCAUGGACUUUUCAUUCUUUUUUUUUCUUCUAAUAUGGCAUACAGGGGCGGACCCAAGGCCCGGACACCCUAAGCACAUCCGCACAUGCCCUGGCUCCGACGCUGCAGCUGCAAAGAAACUAAGCUGUUGUUGUCCACAGUUAGCAACCUUUUUUGCUGUUCUGAUGGAUGGGAGACGGGAAGAGAAUUGUCGUCCAGACUCCGUUCGACCGCUGGGUCCGCCACGGACGGCAUAAGAUUAUUUGCUUGUAGGAGUUAAGAGUAUAUAUUUGCUCUGUAAUCACUCGCAAAGUAGAAGGGAGCUAUCAGCGCACGUGUGGAUCGUGACGACGCCAGCUACGUCAGUGAGUCGUUUUCUUGCGGACUGCUAGCUGUGACCCACCCUUCUUCUCUCUUGGAAAAACGAUUGCUUGAGGCAGCAGGCGGCGCUUUGUGCCGGACUAGUGCCGGUCCAGAUCCAGCCAAUGCAAUCCAACCGAAACCGGCGGGAGGCUUUGGGUUGCAUACCGCGACGUUGUUUCGCGAUCGCUGCUGCUGCCGCCGCUUUCCCUGCAGCGGGUUCGUGGCCGGCCGCGUUCCAAACUUCCCAUCGAGUCGCCAAACGCUAGGCCAGGCACAGCGUAGUGGCGCGCGUUCCAUCGGUGAACUCAUCAUGGGCGUCGUUCCUGGCACGGCGCUACCGCUGAUGGGGUCGCGUUUUUGGGUAAGAGAUAGGGUGUGGCGAUUCAGAGAUAAGGCGUAGCUGGAUCGUGAUGAGACGUGCCAGGCGCGCAAGCAAAAAUCCUAGCUACUGUUACAGAUUUCUGAAGAGAUCAGCAGGGCGGUGCGGCGCGACUGUGCGUGCAACCGGCGGCGGCGGCCGAUUUCGAGCGAGUCCAGUCCGCCUUGCGCAGCAAACGAACACCCGAAACCGCGACGUGCGCUCCAAGCCAAAACCGCCACCGCACACGCGCCUUUCCCCGUUUACGCCCGCGAGCCCAACCGAAACCCACCAGGCGGCUAAAACUCGCCCGUCCUUCCUGAUACUGACGCGUGGGGACACAUCUCACGGGGGGCUAGUGCGGUGGGCUCGCCGACGCCUCCCUCGCCGCGGCCGCGCGGCCCAUGGUUUUCCCUUCCCCGAAGAAAAGAUGACACAGGUUUUGCCGGAGCGCCCCCCCCCCCCCCCCCCCCCCCCCCCCCACCCCCACCCCCCCGCGCCCGUGAUCACACAAGAAUCCCGCGGACGCCCCCGCCGCUCCACCUCGGUAUAAAAGGACAGGUGGUGUCUCCUCCGGAAACCCACCCACCGAACCUGACCCGACACACGUCAAAGCCAAAAACCUCAGAUAACCCCCAGGAAACCGUAUUAUAAUCUCGCCCCUCCACUCCCUCUGCUCCGCUGCAAUUCCACUCGCCCCCCCACCCACCUUGAUCCUCCUCUCCCUCCCCAUUGGCGCUUGAUCGAUCGAUCCAUCCAUCCAUGGACACCCACAUCGGAUCCGUGGACGGGCCGGCGUUGGGGGCGGGGAACGGCACGGUGGUGGGCUGCCCGGCGUCGGCUCCCGGGUGCCCGAUGGCGUCCACGCCGGCGCAGCCCGCGGCGACCCUGCCGGCGGGGGAGGCGUCACUGGGGCGCCACCUCGCGCGCCGCCUCGUCCAGGUCGGCGUCAGCGACGUAUUCGCCGUCCCCGGGGACUUCAACCUCACGCUGCUCGACCACCUGAUCGCCGAGCCCGGGCUCCGCCUCGUCGGCUGCUGCAACGAGCUCAACGCCGGGUACGCCGCCGACGGGUACGCCCGCGCGCGCGGCGUGGGGGCGUGCGCCGUCACCUUCACCGUCGGGGGCCUCAGCGUGCUCAACGCCAUCGCGGGCGCCUACAGCGAGAACCUCCCCGUCAUCUGCAUCGCCGGCGGGCCCAACUCCAACGACUACGGGACCAACCGCAUCCUCCACCACACCAUCGGCCUCCCCGACUUCUCGCAGGAGCUCCGCUGCUUCCAGACCGUCACCUGCCACCAGGUGCGUCCGCGCGUGUUCCCCCUCUGCUCCUUGUGAUUUUGGGUGGGUUUAGAGUGUCUGUUUCAUCAUCUGGUCGGUUAAUGGCUUUGUUUGCUUGUUCGUGGAUUCAGGCGGUGGUGACCAAUCUGGACGAUGCGCACGAGCAGAUCGACUCGGCCAUCGCCACGGCGCUGAGGGAGAGCAAGCCGGUGUACCUCAGCAUCAGCUGCAACCUCCCCGGGCUACCUCACCCCACCUUUAGCCGCGACCCCGUGCCCUUCUUCCUCUCCCCCAGGUAACAUUUGUUGUUUAGUCUCUUGAUUCUGAGAUACAUAGACUAAUUUUAUAUGAAGUCAAGUCAUCUGAUGAAAUCUCGGACUAGAUGAACAAUCAUAUGAUGUGAUAAAAAAAGGGCGUACCCAGUGCGAAAGCUUGGUUUAUUUUCUAGUCAUCAGAUGACUUUUGUCUGUGAACUGUAAUAUGGCACUAAAAGUCUGCUACUGUGUGCAACAAGAUACUAUCUGAAAUCCUGUUAUUAACUGUGUCUGUAAUGUUGCAGAAUGAGCAACAAGAUGGGGCUAGAGGCUGCAGUAGAGGCUACCGUUGAAUUCCUGAACAAGGCGGUGAAGCCGGUGCUUGUUGGUGGCCCCAAACUGCGUGUGGCGAAGGCAGGAAAGGCAUUUGUUGAUCUGGUAGAUGCCAGCGGCUAUGCCUAUGCAGUGAUGCCAUCGGCCAAGGGUCUUGUGCCAGAGACUCACCCCCACUUCAUCGGCACCUACUGGGGCGCAGUUAGCACUGCCUUUUGUGCUGAGAUUGUUGAGUCCGCAGAUGCCUACCUCUUUGCUGGACCCAUUUUCAAUGACUACAGCUCUGUUGGCUACUCUUUCCUCCUGAAGAAGGACAAGGCCAUCAUCGUCCAACCUGAACGUGUGAUAGUUGGGAAUGGGCCGGCAUUUGGAUGUGUCAUGAUGAAGGAGUUCUUGUCUGGAUUGGCUAAGAGGGUUAAGAAGAACACCACUGCCUAUGAGAACUAUAAGAGGAUCUUUGUGCCUGAGGGCCAGCCACUGGAAAGUGAGCCGAAUGAGCCACUGCGUGUCAAUGUACUCUUCAAGCACGUUCAGAAGAUGCUGACAGGUGACAGUGCCGUGAUCGCUGAGACUGGUGACUCCUGGUUCAACUGCCAGAAGCUCAAGCUGCCCGAGGGCUGUGGGUGAGCAUUGUGACGGCACACUGUUCUGUUAUGUGUCCUAAUUUUUGUUGUUUUCCUUGUUCUGACGAUGGUUGCUUGCAUGCUGCAGGUAUGAAUUCCAAAUGCAGUAUGGUUCAAUCGGAUGGUCAGUCGGUGCAUUGCUUGGUUACGCUCAGGGGGCGAAUGACAAGCGUGUGAUUGCCUGCAUUGGUGAUGGGAGUUUCCAGGUGAAGUUUCAUUGCCUGAUUACAUAUAUUUUGC